UUUCAUGUAGGAUAAUGUAAUCCAGUAACUUUAGGAGUUACAAAUAACUAAUAUAUAUAUAUGUUUUUGAAAA
rnacentral:tRNA from 1 species